rnacentral:rRNA from 1 species
AUUGAACGCUGGCGGCAGGCUUAACACAUGCAAGUCGAGCGGAGAUGAGGUGCUUGCACCUUAUCUUAGCGGCGGACGGGUGAGUAAUGCUUAGGAAUCUGCCUAUUAGUGGGGGACAACAUUCCGAAAGGAAUGCUAAUACCGCAUACGUCCUACGGGAGAAAGCAGGGGAUCUUCGGACCUUGCGCUAAUAGAUGAGCCUAAGUCGGAUUAGCUAGUUGGUGGGGUAAAGGCCUACCAAGGCGACGAUCUGUAGCGGGUCUGAGAGGAUGGUCCGCCAAACUGGGACUGAGACACGGCCCAGACUCCUCCGGGAGGCAGCAGUUGGGAAUAUUGGACAAUGGGGGUAACCCUGAUCCAGCCAUGCCGCGUCUGUGAAGAAGGCCUUAUGGUUGUAAAGCACUUUAAGCGAGGAGGAGGCUACUGAGACUAAUACUCUUGGAUAGUGGACGUUACUCGCAGAAUAAGCACCGGCUAACUCUGUGCCAGCCGCCGCGGUAAGAC